CCAUUAUGAUCCAUUCUCUACACAGCAUCCAGAAGGAUCUCUUUAAAAUGUGUAUAGGGGUCAAGCUUAUGACUCACCAAUGACUUAGCACAAAAUUCAGUCUCCCUCUGUUCUAGUCCAUUUGGGCUGUUGUAACAAAACUACUGUAGAUGAGGUGGCAUGAGGAACAAACAGUUCUGGAGGCUGGAAGUCCAAGAUCAAGAAUUGAUUCCAGCCUCGUCCUCAGUGGACACUCAAGGAAAGCAUGCUGAAUGGACGCCUGAGCUUGGAAGACAGGAAUUUGGACACAGACACACAGACAUAAGGGGAAGAUGAUCAUGUGAAGAUGGAGGCAGAAAUUGGAAUGAAGCUUCCACAAACCACGGGAUGCCAAGGAGUACAACAGUUACUAUAAACUACUAGGGAAUUCUUCCCUAGAGUCUUCAGAGGAAGCAUGUCCAUGCUGGAACCUUGAUUUCAGACUUUAAUCCUUAAGAACUGUGAGAGAAUAAAU